GUGUUCACUUCAGUAGCACAUAUAUUAAAAUUGGAACACAGAGAAGAUUUAGCAUGGUCCCUGCACAAAGAUGACAUGCAAGUUCAUGAAGCAUUUCAUACAAUA